CCUACGGGAGGCAGCAGUGGGGAAUAUUGGACAAUGGGCGAAAGCCUGAUCCAGCAAUGCCGCGUGAGUGAUGAAGGCCUUCGGGUCGUAAAGCUCUUUUACCAGGGAUGAUAAUGACAGUACCUGGAGAAUAAGCUCCGGCUAACUCCGUGCCAGCAGCCGCGGUAAUACGGAGGGAGCUAGCGUUGUUCGGAAUUACUGGGCGUAAAGAGUACGUAGGCGGUUAUUCAAGUCAGAGGUGAAAGCCCGGGGCUCAACCCCGGAACUGCCUUUGAAACUAGAUAACUAGAGUCUUGGAGAGGUUAGUGGAAUUCCGAGUGUAGAGGUGAAAUUCGUAGAUAUUCGGAAGAACACCAGUGGCGAAGGCGACUAACUGGACAAGUACUGACGCUGAGGUACGAAAGCGUGGGGAGCAAACAGGAUUAGAUACCCUGGUAGUCCACGCCGUAAACGAUGAUAACUAGUUGUUCGGUCACUUGGUGACUGAGUGACGCAGCUAACGCAUUAAGUUAUCCGCCUGGGGGUGGUACGGUCGCGAGAAUAAACUAACAAUAGUAAUAGACGCGNGAGACGNGCCGACGACGACGACGAGGGAGGUAGG
rnacentral:rRNA from 1 species